AGGACGUCCUCGUCCUCUAAAUUUAGGGUACAGGACCCUUUAGAGGGCCUUGUUGGAGCCAGUCUAACCGCCUGUUCUGCUGGAAGUGUGCGGCGCGGGCCCCUUUGACGGUGGCACAGUAGGCAGUAGCUGGUUGAAGACUGACUGCCAUGGCCUGCUGGAUGCAGGCGGCGCAGACCCUUUGACCGCGGUGCGAUGGAUGGUUGAAGACUCCCCCACUCCUAAUCUUGCCUGGAAGCAGAGCAGAUAAUGAGAUAAAGCAUACGCCUCCUGGAAGCCACCGUCGAAUACCCUCGCAGACGCGCCGACCUUACCGUCCACGGGGCUGUGCCUGCCGCCACCAGGCACAAGCGCCGACGACAACGCCGGAGGGUCGGCCCUCCCCACCUUUGUUGACCUUAACGGCGUGAGAGAGCCGAGAUCGUCCUCCCUUUUUUUCUCUUUCCCACCGCCUGUUUGAUUCUAGAAGUGUGUCGCAUGCUGGUGUCUGGUGAAGGAGCGGACAAGCGGCGACAGCGUUGGCGCGAGCGGCUGCCGGAGGCCCCGAUCUGGAGACUCUAUAAGCAACAGCGAAAGGUCAGACCUGCAUGUGUGUGUGAGAGGAUAGGGGCAGGCGAGGGGAUGAGAACCUGAGAAGAGAUACUCGCAGGCGUGGACGGGAGGAGCGCGUGGACCUACAGAGGGACGAUGCAGAGGGAGCAAGAAGGGGAUGAGAACCUGACCAAGUGACCUACAGAGGGACAAGGCGGAGGGAGCGAGGAGGAAGAGAGACAGGGCAGAUCGAGCGAGGAGCGGUGGCCACUGUCAAAGCAUCAGGUGGAAGUAUCCAGAGGCGAGGAGAACGAUGUGAGAGAGCGCGAUGAAGGUGAGCCAGUGAUCCACGAUCGAGCGGUUAAGAAGAUUUUCGAUGACGUGGAUGAGCUAGGAGGAGCCGGUUU
rnacentral:lncRNA from 1 species